AACGUAGGACACAAGCGUUAUCCGGAGUUACUGGGCGUAAAGGGCGUUUAGGCGGGUGAUUAAGUUCGCUAUGAAAGCGCCAGGCUAAACCUGGCGAGGCUGGCGGAUACUGGUCAUCUGGAGUGAGGGAGAGGGAAGUAGAAUUCCGCGUGUAGUGGUGAAAUGCGUAGAUAUCGUCAGGAAUGCCGGUGGUGAAGACGGGUGACUGGGCUGGUUCUGACACUGAGGCACGAAAGCGUGGGGAGCGAACGGGG
rnacentral:rRNA from 1 species